rnacentral:rRNA from 1 species
AGUGAACGCUGGCGACGUGCUUAACACAUGCAAGUCGAACGAGAACGGGUUAUAGCUUGCUAUAAUUGUCAGCUAAGUGGCGCACGGGUGAGUAAUGUAUAGGUAAUAUGCCUCUUACUAAGGGAUAACAAAUGGAAACGUUUGCUAAUACCUUAUACUCCUUACUAACUAAAGUUAGUAAGGGAAAGAUUUAUUGGUAAGAGAUUAGCCUGUAUUGUAUCAGUUAGUUGGUGGGGUAAUGGCCUACCAAGACAAUGACGCAUAACUGGUUUGAGAGGAUGAUCAGUCACACUGGAACUGAGACACGGUCCAGACUCCUACGGGAGGCAGCAGUGGGGAAUAUUGCACAAUGGACGAAAGUCUGAUGCAGCAACGCCGCGUGGAGGAUGACACAUUUCGGUGCGUAAACUCCUUUUAUAUAAGAAGAUAAUGACGGUAUUAUAUGAAUAAGCACCGGCUAACUCCGUGCCAGCAGCAGCCGCAG